UCUUUUAGGUGAAGCCUGCCCAGUGCUAAAUUGUAAACGGCCGCAGUACCCUGACUGUGCUAAGGUAGCAUAAUCAGUUGGCUUUUAAAUGGAGUCGGGUAUGAAUGGACCAAUAGGGUGAAGCUGUCUCUCCCGUAUUUAUUUGAAUUUAUUUAUUAGGUGAAAAUACCUAACUUUAGAAAAAAGACGAGAAGACCCUAGGAGUUUUUAUUAUAAGUCAAUUUGGAUUGACUACGUUUUUGUUGGGGCGACAUGGGAGCAUAUUUUAAUCGAAACCUCCCUUCUUCAUUUGCCGACAUUAGUAUGAGCAAGUAAACUACCCUAGGGAUAACAGCGUAAUUCUUUAGAGCUUGCGACCUCGAUGUUGGACUAGGAAUUUAUUAGGUUAGCCGCCUAUUUAUAUUGUUCUGUUCGAAC
rnacentral:rRNA from 1 species